rnacentral:rRNA from 1 species
CGUAGGGUGCAAGCGUUGUCCGGAAUUAUUGGGCGUAAAGAGCUCGUAGGCGGUCUGUCGCGUCUGCUGUGAAACUUCGGGCUCAACUCGAAGCUGGCAGUGGGUACGGGCGGACUGGAGUGCAGUAGGGGAGACUGGAAUUCCUGGUGUAGCGGUGAAAUGCGCAGAUAUCAGGAGGAACACCGGUGGCGAAGGCGGGUCUCUGGGCUGUUACUGACGCUGAGGAGCGAAAGCGUGGGAGCGAACAGGAUU